rnacentral:rRNA from 1 species
UACGUCCUUUUGUCGGGAGAUGAUUGGAGAAAGUGGGGGACCUUCGGGCCUCACGCGAACAGAUGAGCCGAUGUCGGAUUAGCUGGUUGGUGGGGUAAAGGCCUACCAAGGCGACGAUCCGUAGCUGGUCUGGGAGGAUGAUCAGCCACACUGGAACUGAGACACGGUCCAGACUCCUACGGGAGGCAGCAGUGGGGAAUAUUGGACAAUGGGGGCAACCCUGAUCCAGCCAUGCCGCGUGUGUGAAGAAGGCCCUUGGGUUGUAAAGCACUUUUGUUGGGGAAGAAAAGUUUUCGGUGAAUAACUGGAGACGCUGACGGUACCCAAAGAAUAAGCACCGGCUAACUUCGUGCCAGCAGCCGCGGUAAUACGAAGGGUGCAAGCGUUACUCGGAAUCACUGGGCGUAAAGGAUGCGCAGGCGGCCUGCCAAGUCUGAUGUGAAAGCCCUGGGCUCAACCUGGGAACGGCAUUGGAAACUGGUGGGCUGGAGUACGGUAGAGGGUGGUGGAAUUCCUGGUGUAGCAGUGAAAUGCGUAGAGAUCAGGAGGAACAUCCGUGGCGAAGGCGGCCACCUGGACCAGUACUGACGCUGAGGCACGAAAGCGUGGGGAGCAAACAGGAUUAGAUACCCUGGUAGUCCACGCCCUAAACGAUGCGAACUGGAUGUUGGGGGCAU